AUAUUUUAGGAAAUUGGUUGAAGGUGGUGGCGUUGGCCAUUGCAGACAAAACUGGAGAAGAUGAUAAUGGAAGAUUUUGAGAAAAAGAUGAGCCUAACAGAUCCAAUGGAAUUAGAAACCCAACACCAAAAUAACAACAAAUCCUCUCAAACCCUAAUUUUGCUUCGCAGAUUCCUUCUCAUUCAGCAGCGUAGAGCUCAAGCUUAUGCCAAGCUCAAGCGGAGUUUUGAUGAAUAUAUGGUUUCAGGAGGGGAAUUAGCUUACCAACAGCUUUGCAGUGAGAUCACACUGGAGUUCAAUGACUGCUCUAAACAAGUCCUUGAAAUGGAGUUCCUAUUUCUAAGUCCUGAUUAUGGGCGUGUUGAUCUUGCUCAGCUGCUUAGAGCUGUUCAAACGCAGGAAAAGCAGAAAUUACAUCUGACUGCAACAAUUCAGGUAUUGAAGAAGGCUGGUCGGCCAUCAGAACGUUUGUUAAGCCAUGAAAAUUGCAGAUUUACAAAACCAGUGGAGCAUGAGUGUGUGCAUGUCCAUGAAAUAACUGAAGCUGCUGGAACUGAAGAGGCAGAAGCAGAUGCCGAGUAUGAUAAUGCACUCAAGGAAGCCAUUAGAGGUGUGCAGGACGCUGUGAUUGCAAUAAAUGAACAUUUAGAAGAAGUCAAGUAUGAGAUUGAUGCCCUUGAAGCUGAGUGACGCUUUUAACUGAUUCAUCACAGUUGAUAAGGAGUCUGAUAGUGCAGAAAGGGGAAAAAAAUAAAUGUAUUGGAGUCUGUUCAGCAAAUUGGUUUAUUUUGAUCAGUGACAUGUAUAUAAGAUGCUCUUGUGCUUGGUUCUUUGUCCCUCUUUUGAUGGCUUAAGGGUGUAGACAGUACUUCUAUGCUAGAACUUCCAAGUACUGAUUAACAUCAACAACACUUUCAACCUCUUGUUGUGUUUGAUGAAAGUGUCGUUACAUCUUCCAUACAGCCCUGUUACCUUCAUCUCAGUUGCAUUACUGCAAACUUGAACGUCGUAAUCAGUACUCCCGAAAAUCAUCAAAACAAAAUUACUUCUGCAGCUGCAAACAUAUGAGCGGAAUUCAGGAAUUCUUGGAUGAAAUUUGUGGGAUUUUCUUUCACAGUUCUUCGGCCGGUUUCUGAAUUUUCCCUAUGGGACGUUCCAAGAUAUCAUUGGCAAUUAAAUCUUUGAAACACUGCAAAUUUACAGAACUUGUAUAUUUAUUGCUCAUGUGAUUACCAUUCCAUUAGUACAUAAUAA
rnacentral:misc_RNA from 1 species